GGCGGUCACGGCGGGCUCCCGCGGCCCCGCACUUCUCCCUCCGCCACUCCUCACCCGCGGCGCCCACCCCUACGGCGCCCGGGGUUCGCGGCCCCGCGGCCGAGCGCGGAACUGCCCUGGGCGCUUUCCCGGGCUUGGCACGGAGGAUCCCCGCGGGGAUCUCAGGGCUCGCGCGGGCGAUGCGCAGCGAAGAAAGACGAGGAGCUGUGUUCGUGCCGGGUGCCGUCGGAGCGCCAGGAGGCGGGGUGCGCUCGCCGCCCCCACCCCCCAGGUCGGGGUGGGGAUGCUGGCAAUUGAGAACCCCCGCGGCGAGGUCCCGUCAUCUCUGCGGGGCCUGAGCGCAGAGCCCUGGGCUGCUGGCGCUUUGGCCUUGGAUGGAAAGUGGGGAAGGGCUCCGGACCCCUAACGUGGAUUACUUGGUGUGUGUCAACCGGGCUCAGAAGACCCACGACCUCGCCUCCAUGCUUGGAUCGAUUCAUUCUACCUGUAGCGGUCGGGUCGCUUACCUGGAGGUGAAAUCAGAGCUUUGAGGCUGACCUGGGGAGGUGCUCCGAGCCAAGAAAAGAAGGACAAGAAAGAAGGCCCGGCAAGGGGGAGCGGCUAAGGACCACUCUGUCUCGCUCACCGUUCUCUCCAGCAAGCUAGCGGGAGCCAAGCUCUACCAUCGCCACCCUGCAAAGGACCCCGCUAAGAUGGGACCAUCUCUCUUAAGAGGCAAGAGCUCUGGAUCUGAUUAAGAAUUCUUGCUUUGGAGAAUGAAGAAACUUGUGGAUUUCAGAAGAUGUUGAAGGAGAAAGCAAAGACCCUUGCACCGAGGAGAGAAGUCUGUGUAUGGCCCUGUGUGCGCCGGACGUGACCUCCAGCCGGACGAGUCAGCAUCAUCGCAGACCUUGCCAUUCCUCCUUGUGGAAAACGUUUCCUCUGCCGCGGCUGCCCCUCCGUCUCCCCUGCCCCCAAUGCCCGGAAACCGAAAGGCUUUUCCACCACACCCUCGCCGGCCCCCCAGCUCCCGCGUCUGCUGUGCCUUUGGACUCGGCAAUUCGUGUUUGUUCCAUUAUCUUCCAGCCGGAUACAGAGUGAAUUGUUAACCACACUCAGGUCAAAUGGGAUUUUAAUUUUUGUUCCUGUUCCUUCUAAAGAAGCCGAUGUUUGUGUUGCUAUAUGAGCAGCACCGGCGUCCAACGUCCUCUUGCUUCUUGCGGAUCCGGGCCCUCGGAUUCCAGAGCGAUGCAGGUCAGGGCAGAAGUUCUUUGGGACCUCAGAGGUCGGGGACCCUGGAGGGGGCUCCUGUAGGGGCGCUGGGGUCCUCCAUGUCCAGCUUUCUUUGCUUGGAUCCCACACAGCUGUCUUCUGUUGACACAGACGCGCCACCAGCUGUGAAGACCCUUCCCUCAGAUGGCGGUGGGGGCCCGUGCCAGCGCCUGGUGUGGCGUCACUGGCCGUCUAGCGACCGGAGCUGGUGUGUCUAUUGUCGACCCUCUUCGCCCCCGAGGACACUCCUGAUGGCCGAUCGGGCCCCCUCGAGACACGAGUCCUGUUUGCUCCUUCCCUCCUGAGCCGCCGUGCCCAUGGCUGAAGACCCUUCUCGAGUGGACCUUGUCUCAGUCAUAGGACCAACAACGUCCAUCUGUUCUCCUGCUAAAGCAAAGGGACGGCUUGCCGUUGUAGAAGGAAUUAAGGCCACACACGUCGACCUUCUCCUCGUUGUAGGGAUGUGUUUCUGUGACCCCGGAGCGACGUCCCCGUCUGGUCAGUGGAGCAGUGGCGUCCAUCUUGGCCUCUCAGAGUCCCCACAAAAUGAGCGAGGACAGCCUCCCGAGGCCGUGUCCUGCUGUUGAAAUCUAAGUCUUGUUGGUGGGCUUUGGUCUUCCUUGAGGUGCACACAGGUUUGUCAUACCGGUUAGAGUCCUUGGGGUUUCAAGGAACAGAGACCCACUUAGAUCACCCCCAUUCACGUGGGUUUAUUCCAAGCCGCUCUGGAAGUAAGGUAGACAGGACCAGUCUGCCCAGCCGCUGCAGAGCGAGGCCUUUCUAGAAGCCUGAAGCCAUUCGAAACAUCCAUUCUCUAGACGGUUUCCGGGAACAGCAAGAACUCUUGAUGCCGUGUCAUUCUGAUCGUCUGCUCAGCAGUAGGGCGCGCUGCUCCAGAUUCUAGAAUUCUCCACUGAUGAUGAGCUAACAGUGCCAGCUGUCCCAGCUUGCCCCCGGCUGAGAGAUGUCUGGGGACACACGACUUCCACUGAUAAACUUGGGACAGUCCUGGGCAAACUAGAACAAUUGGCCACCCUCCUGGGUGGCUUGAUGACAUCGCGUCUGCUGUGUUAUCUGCCGUAGCUCGCUGAUGCUCUUAAGAGGCCUGGCCAGCUGCCAUCAGAGCCACAACGUCUGGCCACAUUGUUGACCACUGGGCAGCCUACAGAUGGAGGCCGUUGGCUCAAGCACUUAGUCCUGACCAUGUCAGGUGUUUGCCGGGUGGUAGGGCGGCAUGAUACUGAAUUACAACCUGGGGACAAUGAACCAGCUGAGACCACGUCCUUCAGAAGAGGGGCUGUGGAUAGUGGAGACGGGAACCACGCAGGGUAUCAGGGAUUCCUCGCCAACACAGUCCUCCUCCAAAUAGGUGAAGCUCAUAACCUUCCUUGGUAAGGACAGAGCAGUUCAUUCGGAGACAAAAACUCCCACAGCCACUGGGAAGGGUGGGGAACCAGACUACGCCUGUCUCAGAGACAUGCACGUACCACGGAGAAUGAGCCAAGAAGAAAACUCUGCGUCUUUGCUAGAGAGAGAGUAAGAGCUAAAAUCAUCGAGAUGGGUUUGUCUAGGGAGCGAAGGAGUUGGCUGGAGAACCUCCUGAAAUGCCUUUGAACUCUAGGAGUCUUUGAAAUACUGAAGGGCGUGUCAGUGGGACCUAAGUGUGUGCUUUCCCUCCAAAGAUCACCUCCCGAGUUCCACCCCGAUCGUGUCGAAUGGGACCUCCCAGCUCCCUCUUCCUUCUCCAGACACUGACUUUAUCUGGGAUAAGGGAGCGGAACUUGGUGGUCGUGGUCGUGGGCGGUGGAGGAGGACGGGAAGGUUGUACCUGCCCAACGUUUGGUGUUCUUGACAAGUAAGAACAAUCUGAAGGCAAAUUACAGGUUCUUUUCGGGUUAGUCAAAGCCAGGCUCUCGGGAUUGCAUGCCAUCCUGAAGCUGUUGCUUCUUGUCAGGGGAUCAGGCCUCCAUCUUUUCUGCUGAAAGACGGGCGUGAGCGUCUGCGGUGUUGGAACGCGAGCCUGCGGCUCGUCCUACCCACCCCCUGCACGCUGUGACCACACAGGGGGGUCAUUGCCUGCUAAGGCAGAGACGUGCAUGCAAACGUCGAGGAACCCGACUCUCAUUACCCCUGUGCGAAGAUUGAGAUCCCCUGUGCACCCGAGGCUUUGCCCCUGUUCUGACUCUGUGCCUUCGCUGCUGGUAGAGAAAGGCUAGCCCAGCACGUGAGGCACCGCUUUUCCUUUUAAAAAGAUGAACUCAUUUCAGACGUGCCCUUCCUUCAUGGCCCACGUACCGUCUUGGGUUCCAGAAAUCUCACUGUUGUGCCAAAGGCAACCAUCUCCUCUUCCUCUCUCUUCCUAUCUUCUUAUCCGCAUAGGACCCCAGAAUCCCAGAGUUCAUGGUCUAAAAGCAUCACGUUUUUCUAGAUUUACCUCUGACUGAGGCAGGAAUCAUCUGACUGAUGAGGGAUCGCCCAGGCCUGGGGGAGGCAGCGUUUUUGGCGGAGUGGGGGAGGGACAAGAGAGGGUGAGGGGGAGGAAUGACAUUCUGCCCCAUAGGGGAGGCAGUAGGAUUGUGAAGAGCAGUUCGUGGGCUGCCUAGAGACCAUGAACAUCAACUUCCCAAUGAGAUUCUGAGGCAGGUGCACUGUCCCCACCCCCCACCCCGGCGUGGAUCCGUCUCUUACUUCUCGGUCCGGGGUGACUUCUGCUGAUAAAUAGCACAGAGUGGGGAGAUGAGGAAAUCUGAGAUUUUGUCUCCGAAAGCCCCUCGUCUUCGUUCCUUCCCCGUAAAACGGAGGAGUCAGGCCACGUGAUCCCUGAAGCCUCUUGGGUCUCUGACUGCCGCAGCGCCGUCAUCGUUCCCUGAGCCCGUGACCUGAAGCUUUGCUGGGUUUUGCUCCAUGUGCGAAGAGUAAAUCAGGUGUUGCCCAAGGUAUGGAGGAAAGGCAUGUCCUCUGUGGGCUGAGGGCGCUCCUCUUACUCCAAUCCGUUAUGAACGUAACCUCAAGUUAGGGCCCCGUCCCGGGAUUUUGCUCAGACUUUCCUGUGAGAUCUCCCCGUCGCAUCAAAGCUUUACCCACAGGGACCUGUUAUCCUCUUCAAAGGGCCCCCCAAACCCCAGUGUUGAUGGAGAAAUAGAAGGGUCUAAUGGUGAAGUAUGGUCCUCUGCUCAGGGGAAUGUGGUUUACAGGGCAUAAGGGUGACCUUGGGAAUGGCCACUGACCUUGGAGAAGACCGUCGUGCGAGGCUGGUGGGAAGCAGGGCUGGGUCCCCCCGCCUCCGCUUCUGAGUAAGACCUUCCAUGACCAGGCUGGCAAGAGCUCUGAACCACGGGGUCUGGAAGUCUGUCCUCUAGUCCUACCUUAACCUCAGCCCCAAGGCCCUUUUCUGUGGUCUCAGUCUUCUCACCCACAAACUGGGAGGGGGAAGCGGAAGUGGGCGGUGCAGGGGAUCCUCUAGGAUCCAUCCCUCCCCUGUGUCCAGUUCUCAGCCCCGCCGACCCCGCGGAGGCCUGCCUGUUCUCUGACAAGGAGCUCUUCUCCCUUUGCCUUCGGCGGCACAAGCCGAAAGCAGGGCUGUCCUGGGAAGUCCAUUACCAAAGAACACUUCAAAGCUGUUUGCACUCGUCAGUCGCACUGAACUUGAGUUUGUUGAGGGAGAAGGCAAAUAGACAUAUAGACGGAUGGCAGACACGGGGAAGGGGCUGCUCUCUGCCCGGGGUGACCGAGGGGGAAGAGAGCUGCCUAUCGUUCUGACCAGUGAAUAAAAACCGGGGGCUCUGCGUGGCUACAACUGGAGGGGAUUUAUGAGUUUGCUUAGUGAAAGGCAAAUAUUAAGUCUUAAGUUGACCCGUCCUGGGACCUGCCUCUUGGCUUUUGUAUGCCGUCCGGCACCGAUCACUGUGUACUUCGGGUUAUCAAGUUCUGUCAAAGGGUUUUGGUUGUGUGUUUUUUUUUUUUUUAAAUUGCUUCCCGUGUCCUUCUCCUUUCCUCCCUCCUUUGCCUGCCUCCCCCUGCUAUUACUGCCACUCAGGGCUGGGUUUUAAAGAGAUAGGGAAGGCGGAGUGUGGAAGACAUGUUGUCACGUUGUCCUGUUCACAAAGCUGGUUGCAUUUGGGCUUCCGCUGGCUUCGGAAUGGCCCACCGGCCGGGGUGGAGGCUGGGGACCAAGUGGUCCUCGUGGGUCCCCCUCUGCCCUUGGCCCUGAACAUAAAUCUGGGCAUAGGAAAAAGAUAGGCAUCACCUGUUUAGCUGUAACCUUUCCUUCCUAUGUGACUGUUGGUGCUGAACAGUGGCUGGUGACCUCAGCCAGAUGUCCUGCGGGAUGAGCCGCUGAAGAUAGUGCCGGGAACGCUAACUGGGGUCUGACCAGAGCCAGUCACCAUCCAGGGAGCGAAAUGUCCCGACCAAAGGGGCUGGACAGGCACCUGGUCUCUCCAGUUUCCAAGUAUGAGCUGCAAUGAAGUUAAACUACAUGGAAUGUUUUUUUUUUUAAAAAAAUAUUUAAUUUAUUUUUUUGACAGUCAGAGGCAGAGUGUGCA